rnacentral:rRNA from 1 species
GUCCUAGCUGUAAACGGUGCAUGUUUGCUGUAAAAGGAAUCGACCCCUUUUGUGGCGUAGCCAACGCGUUAAACAUGCCGCCUGGGAAGUACGGUCGCAAGAUUAAAACUACAAAGAAAUUGACGGGGGCCUUCACAAGCGGUGGAGUAUGUGGCUCAAUUCGAUGCAACGCGAAGAACCUUACCUGGCCUUGACAUGUAUCUAGUAGAAGGGUGAAAGCCUGACGAGGUAGCAAUACCAGGAUACACAGGUGCUGCAUGGCUGUCGU